AUUGAACGCUGGCGGCAUGCCUUACACAUGCAAGUCGAACGGCAGCACGGGAGCAAUCCUGGUGGCGAGUGGCGAACGGGUGAGUAAUAUAUCGGAACGUGCCCAGUCGUGGGGAUAACGUAGCGAAAGCUACGCUAAUACCGCAUACGAUCUAUGGAUGAAAGCGGGGGAUCGCAAGACCUCGCGCGAAUUGGAGCGGCCGAUAUCAGAUUAGGUAGUUGGUGAGGUAAAGGCUCACCCAAGCCGACGAUCUGUAGCUGGUCUGAGAGGACGACCAGCCACACUGGGACUGAGACACGGCCCAGACUCCUACGGAGGCAGCAGUGGGGAAUUUUGGACAAUGGGCGCAAGCCUGAUCCAGCAAUGCCGCGUGCAGGAUGAAGGCCUU
rnacentral:rRNA from 1 species